rnacentral:lncRNA from 1 species
UGAAAGCAAAUCAGUUGCCAAAAUAUUUGGAGAGGACUGAACCCCACCUCAUAGUCAUUUGGCAAAGUUUAUGUCUCUGGGUGAAGUAACAGAAGGGGUGGCAGAGCAGCCUGGCAUCUUUCAUUUGGGCCAAUAAUGCUUGACUGAGGCAUGGUGAGGUAAGUAGGGCAGGAAAGUUAGGAUGCAGAAAGAAGAGGGGAAUAUAUUAUAUUUCUAGCUGUUUUCUCCAUGUUCUAGAUGAGAGUUGGAGACACUGGGGAGAAAGAGAGCAAAGAGUUGAGAACCUGAUAUAUGAUAAGGAAAAUCCAAAGAGGUGGGGACAGAAACUCCAUUGACAUAUUCUGGAAUAUUCCCUCAAGCUCAGAGACUACUUUUUUCUGGAAGGCAAGUUGUGAUGACAUUUAUUUAACCAAUAUUUGCUUCCCUACUAUAUCUUUUUUUUUA